UACGUAGGGUGCAAGCGUUUGUCCGGAAUUAUUGGGCGUAAAGAGCUCGUAGGCGGUUCGUCGCGUCGGCUGUGAAAACCCGGAGCUCAACUCCGGGCCUGCAGUCGAUACGGGCGGACUCGAGUUCGGCAGGGGAGACUGGAAUUCCUGGUGUAGCGGUGAAAUGCGCAGAUAUCAGGAGGAACACCGGUGGCGAAGGCGGGUCUCUGGGC
rnacentral:rRNA from 1 species